rnacentral:rRNA from 1 species
CCUACGGGAGGCAGCAGUGAGGAAUAUUGGUCAAUGGGCGCGAGCCUGAACCAGCCAAGUAGCGUGAAGGAUGACUGUCCUACGGGUUGUAAACCUCUUUUAUCAAGGAAUAAAGUGAGGCUCGUGUCCCCUUGUGAAUGUUCUUUAUGAAUAAGGAUCGGCUAACUCCGUGCCAGCAGCCGCGGUAAUUCGGAGGAUUCGAGCGUUUUCCGGGAUUUUUUGGGUUAAAGGGAGGGUAGAUGGGGUGGUAAGUCCGUUGUGAAAGUUUGCGGGUCAACCGUACAAGUGCAAUUGAGACUGGCAGCCGUGAGUACAGUAGAGGUAGGCGGAAUGCGUGGUGUAGCGGUGAAAUGCUUAGAUAUCACGAAGAACUCCGAUUGCGAAGGCAGCAUACUAAAGUCCCACUGACAUUGAUGCACGAAAGUGUGGGUAUCAAACAGGAUUAGAUACCCCAGUAGUC